UGGCAGUGAUGAUGAAUUAUGUAUACCAUCAAACUUUGAAAGCUAAGUAAAGCUUGUUGAUGCCAACCAUACAAUCUGAGCCU